rnacentral:rRNA from 1 species
GGGGAAUCUUGGACAAUGGGGGCAACCCUGAUCCAGCCAUGCCGCGUGAUCGAUGAAGGCCUUAGGGUUGUAAAGAUCUUUCAGCUGGGAAGAUAAUGACGGUACCAGCAGAAGAAGCCCCGGCUAACUCCGUGCCAGCAGCCGCGGUAAUACGGAGGGGGCUAGCGUUGUUCGGAAUUACUGGGCGUAAAGCGCACGUAGGCGGAUUGGAAAGUUGGGGGUGAAAUCCCGGGGCUCAACCCCGGAACUGCCUCCAAAACUUCCAGUCUGGAGGUCGAGAGAGGUGAGUGGAAUUCCGAGUGUAGAGGUGAAAUUCGUAGAUAUUCGGAGGAACACCAGUGGCGAAGGCGGCUCACUGGCUCGAUACUGACGCUGAGGUGCGAAAGCGUGGGGAGCAAAC